ACUAUGGGGAAUUCUGUUGCUUAUAAAUUCCCCUCUUUAUGUUGCAUUUUUAUGUUAGAGUGAACUAAAAUAAUCAUCUAUUCAUACUAAUAUAAUUAUUUACAUAAGCUGAUAGAGAUGCAGUCACUCUGAAGACAUGUAACAGAAAUAGCAAAAGAGGAUAGCGAGAAAUAAGAUUGGUGAACAGAAUGCUUCAAUGCUGUAUGACUUCUGAACCUAGACAAGAUAAAGUGACAUGACAAGUGGAACUGCCACGGUCACUCGUUCUGGGAUCUUAUCCUUGAAAGCCAGUCAUCAAGCUGCAAGGGAGCUCAAACUAGAGCAUACAAGCCCUAUCUGGAAACUGAGGAAAACCUUCCCCAGCUUGCAUUGUGCAUCUAGCACUGAUACCCGAUAAACAUGAUUACAGCUAAA